rnacentral:rRNA from 1 species
GAUGAACGCUGGCGGCGUGCCUAAUACAUGCAAGUCGAGCGAACAGACGAGGAGCUUGCUCCUCUGACGUUAGCGGCGGACGGGUGAGUAACACGUGGAUAACCUACCUAUAAGACUGGGAUAACUUCGGGAAACCGGAGCUAAUACCGGAUAAUAUAUUGAACCGCAUGGUUCAAUAGUGAAAGACGGUUUUGCUGUCACUUAUAGAUGGAUCCGCGCCGCAUUAGCUAGUUGGUAAGGUAACGGCUUACCAAGGCGACGAUGCGUAGCCGACCUGAGAGGGUGAUAGGCGACACGGGAGCUGAGACACGGUCAAGACUCCUAAGGGAGGCAGCAGUAGGGAAUCUUCCGCAAUGGGCGAAAGCCUGACGGAGCAACGCCGCGUGAGUGAUGAAGGUCUUCGGAUCGUAAAACUCUGUUAUUAGGGAAGAACAAAUGUGUAAGUAACUAUGCACGUCUUGACGGUACCUAAUCAGAAAGCCACGGCUAACUACGUG